rnacentral:rRNA from 1 species
GAUGAACGCUGGCGGCGUGCCUAAUACAUGCAAGUCGAGCGAACGGACGAGAAGCUUGCUUCUCUGAUGUUAGCGGCGGGCGGGUGAGUAACACGUGGAUAACCUACCUAUAAGACUGGGAUAACUUCGGGAAACCGGAGCUAAUACCGGAUGAUAUUUUGAACCGCAUGGUUCAAAAGUGAAAGACGGUCUUGCUGUCACUUAUAGAUGGAUCCGCGCUGCAUUAGCUAGUUGGUAAGGUAACGGCUUACCAAGGCAACGAUGCAUAGCCGACCUGAGAGGGUGAUCGGCCACACUGGAACUGAGACACGGUCCAGACUCCUACGGGAGGCAGCAGUAGGGAAUCUUCCGCAAUGGGCGAAAGCCUGACGGAGCAACGCCGCGUGAGUGAUGAAGGUCUUCGGAUCGUAAAACUCUGUUAUUAGGGAAGAACAUAUGUGUAAGUAACUGCGCACAUCUUGACGGUACCUAAUCAGAAAGCCACGGCUAACUACGUG